AGGAGCAACAGCCCUAGUGGCGGGGCCAGCUCUGGAAACCUGGAUUCAGCCCCCGCAGGAACUCCGGAGCUCUCGGUCUGCAGGGCCUGGAGGCUCCGGGGCGGG
rnacentral:pre_miRNA from 1 species